CCUACGGGUGGCAGCAGUCGAGAAUCAUUCACAAUGGGGGAAACCCUGAUGGUGCGACGCCGCGUGGGGGAAUGAAGGUCUUCGGAUUGUAAACCCCUGUCAUGUGGGAGCAAAUUAAAAAGAUAGUACCACAAGAGGAAGAGACGGCUAACUCUGUGCCAGCAGCCGCGGUAAUACAGAGGUCUCAAGCGUUGUUCGGAAUCACUGGGCGUAAGGCGUGCGUAGGCUGUUUCGUAAGUCGUGUGUGAAAGGCGCGGGCUCAACCCGCGGACGGCACAAGAUACUGCGAGACUAGAGUAAUGGAGGGGGAACCGGAAUUCUCGGUGUAGCAGUGAAAUGCGUAGAUAUCGAGAGGAACACUCGUGGCGAAGGCGGGUUCCUGGACAUUAACUGACGCUGAGGCACGAAGGCCAGGGGAGCGAAAGGGAUUAGAUACCCGGGUAGUC
rnacentral:rRNA from 1 species